rnacentral:lncRNA from 1 species
CUCGCCUGUUGUCCGGGAGGUGUGCUUUCUUGGUUCCUUUGUUCCUUUGAUUUAUAGUAAUUUGGCUACUCCUAGAGAAGGAGAAAAAGCAGAAAUGUCAUUUUCUAAUCCAGCCUGAUUAUUGAUCUCUUAAAUGGACAGGUGAUCAGAGCUGGGGAUUAUGGUGUAUUUACUUUAGUGAAAGAAAAAAAUACACAAGCAAGGCUAUGUUUUCUGUUUAUUGAUGGUUGUGCUUUGUGCAGACGUGAAUAAUUAUAUGGUAUUUUUCUUAAUUAGAUGGACUUAUAAUUUUCUGGCUCUGUGGCAGGUGCCUUAAAGUAUUAGGUUCUGAUGAGGUGUUAGUGUAAGAUAAAGCUCUAGUUCCCUCUGCCAUCCACGGGGUGAGAGGUGGCUGGGUUACCUGCAGUGCUGCUCAUCAUAUGACCACAUUAAGUUGGCACUGUCUGCAGAAGGGUAUAAAGAGCCUACGUAUUUGGUCACCUACUACAGCAUCCCUUUAAACAGAGAGUCUGCCUAGGCACUGGGAAAUUCAGAGUUGUCUUCAAAGCUUCUGAUCCAAAGGCCCAGGGAGUGUGAAUGUCCCCCCAAGAGGCAGAGGACAGGGCGAGUCUGUAGAUCUGAGGACUGAUAGCUCCAGGGCUGGGAGACCUGAGUGACAGGCCUGGCUUUGCCUGCACCUGGGACCUCCUUAUACCCAAGUUGGGCACCUUUAUUGACCAAAGAUAACCAGAGGAGAAAAGCCAAUGAGCAGAUACCUAACCUGUGCAAUUUGUACCGAUCUUAGUAAGGCAAAUGUAGCCACAGAUGGUGUGGAGGGUUUUCUUUGGUCUUUCCGUCUUCAUUUGGUCCUAGCACCCUCUCUAAAGGAACAUGAGUACGCAAGUGCCUCUACAUUCCCUGCCCCAAGGGAUUUAGAAGUAUAAAGUACAGUGUUUCCUGGAACGAUCACCAAACUAGAGAAACUCAUUUUAAGAUAACGUAUAAUGUUGGUUUUCUAAGGCUGAUGGGACAGAAAGCAUCACAAACUGAACGGCUUAAACCAGAGAAAUGUAUUCUCUAAACGGUUCUGGAGGCUGGAACUCCCAUCUCACGCUACCAGCAGAGUGGGCUCCUCCUGAGAGCUGCACUGCAUCCAGCAGUUUUCUGGCCAUCUUGGAUGUUCCUUGCUGUGCCAAUUAUGCCCUGGUUUCCACCUUUGCCUUCACACAGCUUCUCCCUGUUUGUAUGAGGGUGGCGGCUGUACUGCGUCCUGAGCCCACGGCACCUCAGCUCUCACCCUC